rnacentral:lncRNA from 1 species
ACGUACAGAUUGAAUCAGAGUCGUCGUCAUUUCCACAGUCUGAUUUUGUGGGAUGAGCUCUUUUGCUAUCCUGAUUAGUAGCAUAGAUGGUGGAUACGUAGGACUAGUUUAGCUAGAAUGCAUUCAAUAUUUGCAAUAUGCUUAAAUUCUCGAUUUUUAGUAGACACUUUGAGUGAUUAAGUUAAGUCAACGAUGCGAAUUGUAUAUUAGGUGUUUAUAAAGAUGCCUUAUCUCAUGUAAUGUUAAGUGGUACGCAAAAACAUUAAGUAUGCAUAGUCAUCUGAUGAAAUGACUAUUGCGUAAUGUGUCUAUUGAAUUACCUCAGUUCAUUUAUUGAGGUGAUUAUGUUCUAGAGUAUGAAAUAGUCGCCACACAUAAAAUCUAGGGUUAAGAUGUGAAUCAUGUGAGAAGUGUCUAAGUGGAUAUGUAAGUUAACCAUGACUACAUAGGUCUAGUGUUUCUAUCAUCUUGUCGACUUAUUCGACUAGAAUUAUUUUGUGCCAAGGUUAUGGAUGCACUAAAGACUUGCUUUAGUAGCUGUCGUGUUCUAUGUUUGUUGAUUGGUUAAGUGUCAUAAAUAGAUAAUUGUUGUUACACAAAAUAUUUAGGAAGCAAACGACAUCGACAAGUCGUUGACAUUUAGUAAUAACGAGUCUAGGUUUUAUUAGACUUCUAAAAUAUAUUUCACUAAGGAUGAUAGUGUGGGUUAAAUAAUUUAUUCUUGAUUAAUUUCGGAAUUAGAUCCGAUUAGAAAGCAGGAACAUGAGUGAUGCACUUAGUGUGUAUGGGUUGUGUUUCGUAAUGUUUGCAUUAGAUUCGGUUAAUUUAUAGAAGCGUAAUUAUUACGCGUAGUCGUCUGUCGAUAACUAGUAUUUUCUUAUAAAAUUGUACAACGCCUCGCCACUAGGUGUUUAAUCCGCUAUCGUAUAACACUAUUUAGGUUUGUAAUAUUUCCGUCGAUAUGCAUUCAUGUGCACAAUGCAUUCCAUUCAGGUACGUUAAUUAAUCGCGCGAUGCGGAAGACGACCCAUGUCGAUCCCAAGCGCGGGCUACUCCGCAGGAUGAUGCUGAUAGACAAGCCUGAAGAUACUCGUCAAGUGGUCGUCACCUAACAACACUAACCUAGUGUUACCCAGGCAAGCCCCGGUGCAUGCAACCCCUUUCCUUGUGUUUUUAAAUAAUUUUCGCACACUUUAAGUCUAGUGAAAUGUGCAUUAGGUUCAUAGGAGUUGCUUGGAACCCUUUGAUGCAUUGCCUUCCUUGAUAUCCAUACCUUUAUAGAUAUUUCUGUGAAGUAUCAAAAUUAUGAUUUACAAAAAUGCUUAGCCUUGCUUAGAUCUUGUGGAUAGAGGUUGUCCUCAGUCUAACCCGGGAGAGGAUGGCUUCUACCUGCAAGAAUAUUUUCAUUUGGAGCAAUAGUGGGAUCUUACUGCAAAGUUCCCUGUGAUGCUCUUUCAUCCUAAGGAACAGACACAAUCCUGAGGAUGGAAAUACUUAAAUUGAGACUUGGGUUAGGAACAGGUGAUGUUCUACCCAGGUUGAUUAAGGAUUAAUGCGUAUGUAGGCGUGCUGACCGAGGACCCUUUAACUGGUCACAUGCCUCGUCAUGGGUAAGCCUUGCCUCGGGCAGACUAAGGCCAGAAUAAGAUAACACGAAAUGGGCGUGGAGCGGUGGCGAGAGUAGCAUGUACCCUCCGUGGCAAGAGGCUGGACGGUGGUGUAUCUGUGCUCUCGGUUUGCGUGAACCUGAUCUGGUCUUAAGAACCCCGGUGGCGGGUUGACAUAUGCAAGGGUUAAGUGCUACAUAUGUCGUGUGAUUGGAGAUCCUCAGCUGAGUAUAAUCGAUUCGGAUCGCCGUACCUUCGCGGUUAUGAAGACUAUGGAUAAAAAUGAUGUUGUAUUGAUGAGAUGUUGAAAUUAGACUAGAUGCAAAUAGAGUCUAUUAAUACUUAAUAUGGCGUUAAAAUAUUGAAAGUAAGGACUCACUUUAGUAAGCUAUUUCUGCAAAAGUAUCUAAGUUGAUUUUUGCUAAAGCCUCUCCUUGAUUCCUAUUUAUCUAGCAUACCCUUGAGAGUCUUUUCCUUAGUCGGGUAAGACUUGCUGAGUAAUUCCAUACUCAGGGUUUUAUUCCCUGUUGUUUUUCAGGUUUUAACUUUGUGCUGUUGUUGAUGGUGUUAAGUGCCGGUGGGCUCGGCCUUCUUAUAAGUCUAAGUACUUCUUCUAUACUUCUUAUUGAGGAUGGUCACUUGAGCUAGCAUAUAUUUCAAAUUUAUACUUUUGUAAUCACUCUGAUAAAAUAAUGUAAAUUUUUUUUAUAACCUGUAAAAUUUGGUAAUAAGAUUUCCGCUGCAAAAAUGUAGUGUGUGUGAUUUGUGUUACUUAAUCCCGCGGUUCUGGUUGUAAGUGGUUUAUCCGAUGUCCUUCGGGCAAUCGGACGGAUCCUGUUAAGUUAUUUAGUGCACAUGCAUAGCUGUCUAAGGUCUUUGAGACAAGGACAUGUGCAUGUGGGCCCAAUAACUUAAGAGGUUCUGCCACAGCUGGUAUCAGAGCUGGAUUAAGUUUAUACGGUCACAUACGUAUUUUCAAAACAAAAGUUUUGGUUUUAGAAAACCUAUUUUCAAUUAAACACGUUGUUUGGUUUUGAAAAACAGUUUUGAAAAAAAACUAUAGUGCUAGCGACAUCCUCUAUUAAGCCCUAUACUAAGGACUAUUAGGUGGCUUAUUUAAAAACCAAUAACCCACAACCGGGGGUAUUGCAUACAUGUGUAUUGUUAUUUUUAAAGGCCAUUCAGUUUUGAAUGGAUCGACGCUCAGGUAAGGUGAGAUGUGAGAGCAUGACCGAACAACCGUCGGUCUAGGGAAGUGCUUAAUUGUAGCGCUUGAUUAUAUACAUGUUCUACAUAUGUAUAUAUGAAGGCUGCGAUGUGGAGUAAUUACUCUUCCGGGAAUUCAGUACCCCAUGGAUGUGUAUGGGUAUACAGACAUGGGAAUACUGAGAAAUGUAAUGUACUUGUAACGACGCACCUACGCUCAGGUAAGAAGGUGAGUUACCAUAAUGAGUUGCCCUAUGGUUAAAGUGUGGCAACGGCGCCUAUGCUUGGCUCGGCGCUUAAUGAUGAGAUGGCCUCCAUAUAGCAAUAUAUGGAGUAUAAACUGUGAUAAACUGUCAUGUGUGAACUGCAUCAUUGGGAAAUUGGGCUGCAAUGGAUUUUCUGCAGGUACACUAACCUCGAAAACGUAUGUGUAGUUGACGACUAGCAAAAUACCGUGAGAGCUAUACGUAUGCCACCGAUAUAGAACGCUAUUGCCACAUUAUGUUGGCAAAAUCAGUGAGGACGCAUAGGACGAGCAUGCAUCCUGAUUGUUGCAUCGUGUUUGUCACCUAUACACCCAAGAUGUUUCUCUUAUCUUUAUUCCAGUAACCUUUGAUUGUAGAUAAUGUGGUGUAAUGCUGAAUUAUGAACUUCGAUGAAAUAGGUGUCCUUCAUUCUUUAGGUGACCUCUUAGGGUGCUUUAUAUGUUUGCUCUUGUACUUGAUGUGCCAAUAGAGGGUUAGUGACUUGUUUGCCUAAAUCGAAAAUUAGGCCAUGUUCUUAUUUGGUGAACUGAGACCCAAAUUUGAAUUUACCAUUAUCCCUCCAUAACUAAACUCAUGCAAAUGAAGGUUUAGAUAAUCUCUUUAUUGGACCUACGAUGUACUCGGACUUCAAACAAGGAUCUUGAGUCUGUGUUCAGUUAACUUGUAACCCCCUUAGUGGUUGUGUUUCCAUCCUAGAUCCUACCCUUGCUUAGUUGAUAGGUUGAGGUCUCUAUUGUGUUUGGCCUCUCCUUGCGAAUUAUCUUAUCGCUUUGUCAACCCAACCUAGGAAAGACAUGUCCAAUCAUUUUUCUAGAAUUUGAUGCCUCUGGUUUCCCUAUACCUAUCGAAGGCAUACCAACUUAAUCCUUGACCUUGUAAUCUCUAGGAUGGGCAUAGAAAUAUGCUUGGGGCUGAAUUAACAGUCUCCCAUCGUACUCCUUUCAUUAAUUUUAGGUUAUGGCCACGCCUUGUUCAUUUCAUCGGGACAUAAUCUAUUUGGCUCUCUACUUGUAUCCAUUCUUACAGGUGGAGUAUCUCCUUGUAUAUUGUCACCCUUGUUCAAUUCAUUUGUAUCGCGCGAGAUUUCUUAUUGGUUACGUCUGGUAAUGGCAUUAUGGCUAAAACCUGUGGUGCCGUGACGAGACCGAGGGCCUCCUGUGAAUGUACACAUGGUUGUGCUGCUCGGCACACGCUGGUAUCAUGGUUAGUAGUUGUAAUCCACUAUGAGACUAUAUCAAGGUGUUAUCUUAGCACAAUCUGUUUUUGCUACGUGAGGUUCAUUAUUGGUGCCAGUUCGGUGAUGGUGUCAAGAUUCAGGACUUAUGGUGCCGCAGCGAAACUAAGAGCCCCUUGUGAAUGUACACACAAGGUUAUGCUGCUUGGCGCAUGCUGGUAUCGAGGUCUCUAGUCAUGAUCCAUUGUGGAACUACACUAAUAUAUUAUCUUCCAUAGAUCUCUUCCUUGAAACAAUUUCGGUGUUGUUUGUCGAAGUGACCAAGCAACAUCUAUUGUCUUUGUUGGAUCAAAAGGACCAAGCAACAUCUAUUGUCUUUGUUGGAUCAAAAGGGCAUACCACUUUCAUUUGUGGUCUCUUUUCUUUUGAUCUUGGUAGUGACUACUCAUACAAGUUCCCUUUACAUCCUUUGUGUAAAGGUGAAGCCUUGGAGCUUUUUAGUGUUGAGAGACAACUGAUUAGCUCUCAAAAUGGAGAUCUGCUUCCCCUGCUGCCGAAAUGCAGGAGUUUGUUCAUUCGCUUUUUCAUUAAUCCAUGUAUUCCCGAACCAAGUCUGUUCAUCUCUUAUGGAAGAAACGGAUGAACAACCUGACCAAAUGGAUUUCUACCCAAAUGCAUGACCUUUUGCUUGCAAAUGUGAACUCUCAACCCUUGGCUUACCGAUGGUACUGAGAGGACAUGCUCAAUGUCAAAAGUAGUUCAACAAGUUGGUUGUACUAACUUAUAACUGCCCAAUGAACGAAGGUUGAGUUUAGAGAUCGUUUUAUCGAGUUGUCUAAACUCACUUUGGCUCAACCCCUCUUAAGAAAGUACUUACAAAAAUCAAGUUAAAUCGACUAAUAACCACCUUGUUAUCGCUCUAGUCAUGCCUUAAUCGCCUCGCGUGUACUUUUCCAGCAUGUGUGAUCAAGUCGAGCCGUGAUUAGUGCUGGAUAAAAUGGACUAGUUGUAAAGUCCGUAUCCAUAUAUCCCUCCGCGAGUGAUUUUCUCGAAUCUAUACCAUCUGUUGUGGACUUGAAUUCUCGGGUUAACCACAUGUUAACCGCGACAGUAUUCGACAUCCACAUCCGUCUCGUGUGCUACGAACCCACUGUGACCACUUGUUGGUAAACCUCCUUCGAUGUGUUUUACCCAAGAUGGUGCAUCUGAUUCUGCUUGGGUAAAAUCGCAUAUUUGCCGCUCGCUCAACAGACUCAGAUAGUACAGUGUCAUCAGAAAAAAAGCAAACUGCACACAUGGAACCUUAUGUGUUCCUCUGGCAGACAACAUCUCUUGUGGUGAACAUUUCUAAUUAGCCCAAGGCGAUACAUGCUAUAUUCACUAGAGAAACCCCAUCCGGAGACACUCGCCUUUAUUUGGAAAUGUCUCACGGUUAUCGCUGAUAUGGACAAGGUUACAUGCUUCUCUACUCUUAGAAGUCUUUCAUCCUGAAUCUCGGGACGAGAUUCUUUUAAGGGGGGAGGCCUGUAACACCCCUGGUGUUACUGCUACUAAAGCUUGGGCAUAACACCGUAAGCCUUGGCAUAUCAUGUAAUACAUUCACCAGACAAAAAUUUCAAACAAGUUGAAUUGAGGUGAUAUGUCAUGGGUACAACCCUAGGGGAGGGCACUUAACCCUAAAUUGAGCUUAGGAGGUCAAUAAAGCCCAAAAUGAGUUAGGUUCUCAAAACUUAUUUGUAAUAAUCAUAAAAUGUCACCAUGGAUGGGCUUAAGUGGCAUUCAAACCCUAGAAAUACCAAAAACCUUGAAUAGACCCCUGGAAAACCCUGGACUGAAACCCCAGGGGGUUAUAUGCAACUGUUGCACACUUCUGGACCUAAGUGCAAGUAUCAAAGUAAAAAGGGGCACCUUAAACCCACUAACUUUUAUAUUCAAGGGUUUGCAAGAGGAAUAGUGGGAUUUGGACCUUUUUGUAAAAAAGACCCAUGAAGGCUAUGUAACUAAGUCUGAAUUUCAGUAGGUUGAGACCAUCUUUGGAGCUGUAUAUCUCUCCACUCAUGAGGAUUUUGUCCUAGGUUAGUACAUCAAAAUGGUAGAGCUAGUUUAGGGGUAUAAGUUCAAUUAAGAAACCUAACCCUAAAACUCUAUAAAAUCUCCAGAAAACAUACCCAAAAUAGAGCUAACAGAACUCUGAAUUUCAGAUUGAGCACAGUAAUCUGAAGCUUAUAAGACAGUGAAUCAAGCUAUGUUUGGAGCCUUUUUAUGGCCAAUCCAGUGGGUUAAAGGCUGUGAGCUAUGUAGAUAAAUUAGAGACUAUUAGAAGAUGAUUAAGUGUUCCUAAGACAAGUAGGCUUGAUCCUGUACAAAUAUUGAAGAAAAAGCUGCUCAAAGUCGAGCUGUCAGACUAACAGUUCAGGUUAUCAGACAGAACAGUUUAAUCUGAAUACCUAUCUGUCUGCUCCACUUUGUGGGCUUGCAAAGGCUGUUCCGUGUAGCUUUGUGCCCAAGUAUCUACAGCAAAGUGGGAGAGGUAGUAUCUAUGAACAAUAUUUAUUAAGGGACCAUAGCUUAACACUAUACAAGGUUGGAAGAUUCAGGCAUCCAAAGAUGAUAAGUCAGCUGCGCAAGACUGAAGGAUACAGUUCAGACUGAUCUAAUUUAAAGUUCUGUCUGAGCAACUUUGAGGCCUUGCUGGUACUGUCCUAUGCGACUUGGUGCCAGGUUGAUUUAAGCAAAGCUGAAAAGCUUGUAUUCAUGAGCAAGUUUGAUUAAGAAACUUUGGCCUGGUGUUAUGGAGAUUUAGGAGAUAAGGGCGCCUAAACUAUCCCUGUCAGAAAGAAGGCAAUGGGGCAAAAAACUGAAACUUUGGAUCAGGCAAACAGAAAUGGUAACUAGAUUUUGCAGUCAACUUUUGAAUUCCAUAACCGCUAUUCUAGGGGGUUUGGGUCCAUGAAAUCUAUAGAGACUUGGUAGACCUUGGACUAAUGAGCAAGUUCUAUUAAUGGUGAUUUCCCUGUUCUUAAUCAGAAUAUGGAGAAAGGGCUGACUGAAUGGGGGAGAAUCAGUUAUCUGCUGAUGAUUCAGAAAAGCUGAAAUAUCUACCCUUGAUAUUUACCCUCCUUGCCGUGACCAACCUGGGAUCUGAUAAGGAUGAAGUGCUGGCAGGGGUAUUCAGACUGGUGCAUCCCUGAAAUAUCACCUAUGCAAAUAUCCUGUACAGUGCACUUCAUCCUUACCCCCCCCCUCUUUUCUUUUGGAUAAUCUUCACCCUGCCUAGCUAGGCUCUAUGUGUUGGCGUGGAUUUGCUGGAGGCAGCCACGACUGCAUCUAGAGCUCAUGGUUAUCCUUGCUGCAAGUUCAAGCAUCCAACCCCUGUGAUCUUUUCCCUGCCUAUGUAAAGAACAGCAGGGAGGGGAACAGAAACCAGAUUCAGUGAUCUGUGCUCCAUCAUCACCUGGAUGAGCCUUAGCUCAUUUACGACCUCCCUCUCUCAACACGUCAGUGCAGAUGUCGUAUUUGGCCGCGCUCUGUACUACUCUAGCUCGCAUCCAUUCCUAGGUUCGAGUUUGUGUACCACCUGUUCGACAAAAUGUGUGAACCAGUUAUCGACCUCGCCAUGGCCAGCCGGUGUGCCAUAUAUCGCUCCUCGCCGAUGUCUCCCUCUGCCAUUCCUACAACAGGUUCAGUCCCCUCCAUUUCUCUGCUCAUUUCCACACCUGAUGCGGUAUGUACUGAUGAUCUAUGUGUAUGUGUCUGAUGUGGCGAAGGUGAGGCACCUAGGAUGUUUGUGAUGAAAAAAAGGGGUUUCAGCACAUCGCACAUCUGGUACUCCACGUACAGAUUGAAUCAGAGUCGUCGUCAUUUCCACAGUCUGAUUUUGUGGGAUGAGCUCUUUUGCUAUCCUGAUUAGUAGCAUAGAUGGUGGAUACGUAGGACUAGUUUAGCUAGAAUGCAUUCAAUAUUUGCAAUAUGCUUAAAUUCUCGAUUUUUAGUAGACACUUUGAGUGAUUAAGUUAAGUCAACGAUGCGAAUUGUAUAUUAGGUGUUUAUAAAGAUGCCUUAUCUCAUGUAAUGUUAAGUGGUACGCAAAAACAUUAAGUAUGCAUAGUCAUCUGAUGAAAUGACUAUUGCGUAAUGUGUCUAUUGAAUUACCUCAGUUCGUUUAUUGAGGUGAUUAUGUUCUAGAGUAUGAAGUAGUCGCCACACAUAAAAUCUAGGGUUAAGAUGUGAAUCAUGUGAGAAGUGUCUAAGUGGAUAUGUAAGUUAACCAUGACUACAUAGGUCUAGUGUUUCUAUCAUCUAG